rnacentral:sRNA from 1 species
GUGGCUUUAACACCAAGGCGGUAGAUUUUUAGUAGAAACUCAUACAAUUAAAAAAAU